AGGGUGGGUUGGGGUUUUAUUGUGUAUGUUUUGUUUUUAAAUGUGAAGCGCUUUGUGUUGCUUUUAAGUAUGAAUGGCGCUUUUAUAAAUAAAGUUUGAUUUUGAUUUGAUUUGAUCAUAGAUACUGCUAAUUCAUCAAACUGUGCUUGGUGUUUAUGUGAGGCAGCUUUUGCAGACCCCGUGUACAACACCGCUCAGCUGAUCGGAUCCGUUAACAGUCCCAGAAUCAAACUCUUCACCUGGUUCUGAGUCUUUUCAAUCUGCUGCAGCCACAGACUGGAACAACUUACAAAAAACUCUCAGAUUGGACACUUUGACUCCACAAGCUGAUUUUAAAACCAUCUUAAUGACUAUUUUAAAGAUAGAGGCUGCUUUUACACGGUGCAAUGAUUGUAAGGUUUUAGAUGGUUUGUGAUUCUAUUCAGUUUUAUUUCUUGUUUUAAAAACUUAAAGUCCCAUUAGUUGUCACACAUAGAUGUGUGAAAUUCAUUCUCCGCAUUUGACCCAUCCCUGUGGGAGCGGUGAGCUGCAGACACAGCCGCACUCAGGAGCCCUUUGGUGGUUUAACCCCCCAGUCCAACUCCUUAAUGCUGAGGGUCAAGCAGAGAGGAACUGGACCAUUUCUAGAGUCUUAGGUCUCGCCUUUUGCCAGGCCACAGUUGUAAAUAAAAAUGUUGCUUAUCCUACCUGGAUAACUGAAGGUUAAUAAAAUAGAGAUGUGAGAAGA